rnacentral:sRNA from 1 species
GAGCGGCCUGGUCGCCGGCAUGGUUUCUCUGUCCUGCUGCAGCCGGCGGGAGUCAGCCAGUCCAGGCGCCCGCUAGCUUCGGCGGCGACCCAGACGGGGAAAGCGGAAGGAAUGUCGCGUGCAAGCAGGCAGCUGGUGUGGAAGAAUGGCGGUGAGCCAUUCAGUGAAGGAGCGGACCAUCUCUGAGAACAGCCUGAUCAUCCUACUGCAGGGCCUCCAGGGCCGGGUAACCACUGUGGACCUGCGGGAUGAGAGUGUGGCCCACGGACGCAUAGACAAUGUCGAUGCUUUCAUGAACAUCCGCCUGGCCAAAGUCACCUACACGGACCGUUGGGGGCAUCAGGUCAAGCUGGAUGACCUCUUUGUGACAGGCCGCAAUGUCCGCUACGUCCACAUCCCAGAUGACGUGAACAUCACCUCGACCAUUGAGCAGCAGCUGCAGAUUAUCCAUCGGGUGCGGAACUUUGGUGGCAAGGGCCAAGGCCGGUGGGAAUUUCCCUCCAAGACGAGGUCUCACUAUGUUGCCCAUGCUGGUCUUGAAUUCCUGGGCUCAAGCCAUCCUCCUGCCUCAGCCUCCUUGAGUGGUAGGAUUACAGGCGUGAGCCACGGGGUCUGGCCAAGCACACAUUAUCAAGGAGAACAGAGGGUCCUAGCAGGGAGAACUUCUGAAUUUUCCAGCCCCUCUGACAACUGGAGUUAAGAGGACUGACUGACACCACAAAGUGACUGCUCGAAAGAGAAACCAGAGGGCAGGUGCAGAGGGAAGGCCUUCGCUGUGGGAACGUCACCAUACCCUCGCAAGUGGGGAGAAAGAUGAGGAACUGGUAGGAGUCCCACAGCAGCUUCCCUUGCAGACCUCUUCCACAUGUGUGCCCGUGUGUGAGAAAUGGAAGAGGGCUUAGCUGGGGGUUCGGCUUAGGGAUGCAGGAAAGGUCGAGCUCUGAGGCUGUGAUGGCACACCAAGGGCUUCUCCGUCUUCAGCAGAGCAGCAAGGGAAGCAG